rnacentral:rRNA from 1 species
AUACGGAGGGUGCAAGCGUUAAUCGGAAUUACUGGGCGUAAAGCGCGCGCAGGCGGGUUGGUAAGUUGGGUGUGAAAGCCUGCGGCUCAACCACAGAACUGCACCCAAAACUGCCAGCCUAGAGUCUGGGAGAGGUGAGUGGAAUUAGUGGUGUAGGGGUAAAAUCCGUAGAGAUCACUAGGAAUACCGAAAGCGAAGGCAACUCACUGGAACAGUACUGACGCUGAGGCGCGAAAGCGUGGGGAGCAAACAGGAUUAGAUACCCCGGUAGUCC